UACGUAGGGUGCAAGCGUUACUCGGAAUUACUGGGCGUAAAGCGUGCGCAGGCGGUUAUGCAAGACAGAUGUGAAAUCCCCGGGCUCAACCUGGGAACUGCAUUUGUGACUGCAUGGCUAGAGUACGGUAGAGGGGGAUGGAAUUCCGCGUGUAGCAGUGAAAUGCGUAGAUAUGCGGAGGAACACCGAUGGCGAAGGCAGGUCUCUGGGCUGACACUGACGCUCAUGCACGAAAGCGUGGGGAGCAAACAGG
rnacentral:rRNA from 1 species